rnacentral:rRNA from 1 species
AGUGAACGCUGGCGGUAGGCCUAACACAUGCAAGUCGAACGGCAGCACAGUAAUAGCUUGCUCUUACGGGUGGCGAGUGGCGGACGGGUGAGGAAUACAUCGGAAUCUACUUUUUCGUGGGGGUUAACGUAGGGAAACUUACGCUAAUACCGCAUACGACCUACGGGUGAAAUCAGGGGAUCUUCGGACCUUUCUCGAUUGAAUGAGCCGAGUUCGGAUUAGCUAGUUGGCGGGGUAAAGGCCCACCAAGGCGACGAUCCGUAGCUGGUCUGAGAGGAUGAACAGCAAAACGGGAAGAGAGAAACGGAAAAGAGAACUACGGGAGGAAGCAGUGGGGAAGAUUGGAAAAGGGGGGAAAGCAUGAUCAAGCAAAACCGGGUGGGGGAAGAAGGCCUUCGGGUUGUAAAGCCAUUUUGUGGGGAAAGAAAAGAAGCAGGUUAAUACCCAGAUGUUAUGACGGUACCAAAAGAAAAAGCACCGGCUAACUACGUG